rnacentral:misc_RNA from 1 species
GACGGCGGCUGAUGUGGCGG